rnacentral:rRNA from 1 species
UACGUAGGGGGCAAGCGUUGUCCGGAAUCAUUGGGCGUAAAGCGCGUGUAGGCGGCCCGGUAAGUCCGCUGUGAAAGUCGGGGGCUCAACCCUCGAAUGCCGGUGGAUACUGUCGGGCUAGAGUGCGGGAGAGGCGAGUGGAAUUCCCGGUGUAGCGGUGGAAUGCGUAGAUAUCGGGAGGAACACCAGUGGCGAAGGCGACUCUCUGGCCUGUAACUGACGCUGAGGCGCGAAAGCGUGGGUAGCGAACAGG